rnacentral:rRNA from 1 species
UACAGAGGUCCCGAGCGUUGUUCGGAUUCACUGGGCGUAAAGGGCUCGUAGGCGGUUUGUCGCGUCGGGAGUGAAAUCCACUGGCUUAACUGGUGGCUUGCUUUCGAUACGGGCAGACUGGAGGUAUGCAGGGGAGAACGGAAUUCCUGGUGUAGCGGUGAAAUGCGCAGAUAUCAGGAGGAACACCGGUGGCGAAGGCGGUUCUCUGGGCAUGUCCUGACGCUGAGGAGCGAAAGCGUGGGGAGCGAACAGG